rnacentral:rRNA from 1 species
AUACGGAGGAUGCGAGCGUUAUCCGGAUUUAUUGGGUUUAAAGGGAGCGUAGGUGGGAUAUUAAGUCAGCUGUGAAAGUUUGGGGCUCAACCUUAAAAUUGCAGUUGAUACUGGUUUCCUUGAGUACGGUACAGGUGGGCGGAAUUCGUGGUGUAGCGGUGAAAUGCUUAGAUAUCACGAAGAACUCCGAUCGCGAAGGCAGCUCACCGGGCCGGAACUGACACUGAUGCUCGAAAGUGCGGGUAUCAAACAGGAUUAGAUACCCUGAUAGUCCGCACAGUAAACGAUGAAUACUCGCUGUUUGCGAUACACGGUAAGCGGCCAAGCGAAAGCGUUAAGUAUUCCACCUGGGGAGUACGCCGGCAACGGUGAAACUCAAAUGAAUUGACGGGG